rnacentral:rRNA from 1 species
AGUGUUGUUCGGAAUUACUGGGCGUAAAGGGCUCGUAGGCGGCCAACUAAGUCGGAUGUGAAAACCCAGGGCUCAACCCUGGGCCUGCAUUCGAUACGGGCAGACUAGAGUUCGGUAGGGGAGACUGGAAUUCCUGGUGUAGCGGUGAAAUGCGCAGAUAUCAGGAGGAACACCGGUGGCGAAGGCGGGUCGCUGGGCCGAAACUGACGCUGAGGAGCGAAAGCGUGGGGAGCAAACAGG